rnacentral:rRNA from 1 species
UACGUAGGGGGCUAGCGUUGUCCGGAAUCAUUGGGCGUAAAGAGCGUGUAGGCGGCCCGGUAAGUCCGCUGUGAAAGUCGGGGGCUCAACCCUCGGAUGCCGGUGGAUACUGUCGGGCUCGAGUACGGAAGAGGCGAGUGGAAUUCCUGGUGUAGCGGUGAAAUGCGCAGAUAUCAGGAGGAACACCAAUUGCGAAGGCAGCUCGCUGGGACGUAACUGACGCUGAGACGCGAAAGCGUGGGGAGCAAACAGG